rnacentral:rRNA from 1 species
ACCUGCCCUAUGAUAGAUUUAUUAAAUGGCCGCGAUAAUUUGAUCGUGCAAAGGUAGCAUAAUAAUUAGUUUUUUAAUUGGGAACUGGAAUGAAAGGUCGAACGAGAAAGAAUCUGUCUCAAUUUAAAUUUAAUUAGAAUUUUAUUUUUAAGUUAAAAAGCUUAAAUAUUUUUGAAAGACGAGAAGACCCUAUAGAGUUUUAUAUUUUUAUUUUUUUUUUUUAGUUUAAGAAUUUAAUUUUAAAAUAAAUUUAAAAAUAUUUAAUUGGGGCGAUUAAAAAAUUAAACAAACUUUUUUUAUUUUUAAACAUUGAUAUAUGAUUAAGUGAUCCAUUAUUUAUGAUUAUAAGAUUAAAUUACCUUAGGGAUAACAGCGUAAUUUUUUUUGAGAGUUCUUAUCGAAAAAAAAGUUUGCGACCUC